rnacentral:rRNA from 1 species
AAACCAGCACCUCAAGUGGUCAGGAGGAUUAUUGGGCCUAAAGCCUCCGUAGCCUGUUCUAUAAGUUUUCGGUUAAAUCCACUAGCUCAACUAGUGGGCUGCCGAAAAUACUGUAGAACUAGGGAGUGGGAGAGGUAGACGGUAUUCGGUAGGAAUGGGUAAAAUCCUUUGAUCUAUUGAGGACCACCUGUGGCGAAGGCGGUCUACCAGAACACGUUCGACGGUGAGGGAUGAAAGCUGGGGGAGCAAACCGGAUUAGAAACCCCAGUAGUCC